rnacentral:rRNA from 1 species
GUCCUGGCAGUAAACGGUGCACAUUUGGUGUGGGCGCAAUCGACCGCGUCCGCGCCGGAGCUAACGCGUUAAAUGUGCCGCCUGGGAAGUACGGUCGCAAGAUUAAAAACUCAAAGAAAUUGACGGGGACCCGCACAAGCGGUGGAGUAUGUGGCUUAAUUCGAUGCAACGCGAAGAACCUUACCUGGUCUUGACAUGCAAUUGUGUCUCCGGUGAAAGCCGGAUAGGGUAGCAAUACCCGCUUUGCACAGGUGCUGCAUGGCUGUCGU